CUGCUGGCAUAUAUGUGUGCUGACACACUUUGUUGAGCUGCCAUAGUGUUCACCAAAUGGGGUCUUUCUGCCCUCCAACUCUCUGAAAAGAGACUUUUCCUUGUGCUCCAGUUUAAGGAAGCCAGAGGAGCUACUGGUAGUGAUGGUUCAUUAACCUGGCCUGCAGAAUCAUUCACUGAGCUCUGGAGUUCUUGUAGAAAAGACUCUGAAAAAAAAAAAAAAAGCAGGCAGGUCAGAACCCUGCCAGUCUGCUUGGAACACCCCCAUUCUGCCUGUAAAAAGGAAAGUUAUAGGUAACUGCAAAAUGGCCCACGAUUUACAAUAAAAUAACAGCUCUGACAGCUGACUAGCUGAACACUACAGGGAUGUCUUCUUGUUCACUUAUAGGAAUCAGCAACUGAGAGACACCAGGUUGCCUCAACAUUUUGCCUUAUCUCCGGGUCAGGUUCUCAAAUCAGGUUCUCAAACAGCAGCUCCAGGACUGCAUGUUGCCAGCGGAGGUGGUUUCUGAUUACAGCACGAACAGCAACCGCGUGUAUUGAAGCUACCAACUUUAUUCUUUUACAUCUUACAAAAAAAAAAAAAAGAUUUCGAAGUGAGUAAAAUGAAAAACAGAUUGAAGAAUACAGGUUACUUUUUAGGAUUUCAAUAACAGGAACCCAUAUUGUUUCUGCAAAAAAAUCUGCCAUUUUACAUCAUCCCAAACAAAGAUUUGUUGUCAUUUUUGGGUUAGACUGCCAAUAGCAGAAACUAUGUCCCUGAGUACACUGGUUUGACAGCACCACUGAGUCUUUUGGUAAAAAAGCAGGGUUGGAGAAAUCUUAAUGCAUCACUGAAUUGGAACACAGACGCCAGGAAUCGUUCAUUUAGUUUAAACAGCUGCGGUAGUUUGCUGCAUAAUUGCUCUUUCAGGAUUACUGUCUGCCUUUUUAUUUAGAUGUUUCUGUAACAACAAUGUUGUUUCAGUGAAAAGGGGGAUAUAGAGGUGAUUCAGUAUGUUAGCUGUAUGCUAGAUAAUAUGGAAAAAGACAUGUUGAUAUGAAACAAUGGUUGAGAAGUGGAUUUGUGAUUGCAGCACAGAAGCUAAUCAAACAUAAAAAUUAAAUUAGAUUCAUGGCUCGAGCUUUGUUGUUGCCUAAAAAGUAGCAGGUUAUGCACGCAGCUUCAAUAUAGUAAGUGUUGAAGCUGAGAACUUUGAACAUCUAAACCUGGAAAAAAUCAAACAGCAUCACAAAAGGGGUUCUCCACUUGAGGAACUUACUGUGUGGAAGAGAAAAGGCCCUGGUGAUAAAAGUUGUGAAGCCACCAAACAUGAGAGAACACAUUUCGGAAGAGGGACAUGGAACAUCACAUGUAAGUUUAAAACUACACCCCACCUGGGAAGGAGAUCAUCAUUGACUACACAGACAUGGUAUCCACAGCAAGAGCAUAUAGAUACAGGUUGGUCUGUGUGGAUGGAUAUUCAGGAUGGCCUGAGGCAUGGCCCACAAGAAAGGAACACAGUAAGUAUUUGGUAAAAUGUUUAAUUAAUCAUUAUAUUCCCAGACAUGGCUUCCCGGAAAAGAUAAGGUCUGAUAAUGGAACUCAUUUCAGGAGCAAAGAUCUGCAACAGGUGGAGCAAAUGUUGGGACUAAAACAUGCUUUGGGUACAGUACAUCAGCCUCAAUCACAGGGCAAAGUUGAAAGAAUGAACCAAACAUUGAAAACAAAAUUGGCUAAAAUCUGUGCACAGACCAAAUUAAAUUGAGUGGAUGCUUUGCCAGAGGCUUUAAUGUAUGUCAGGAUGUCUGGUUAAUCAGUCCACAGGUUACACCCCACAUGAACUACAGACUGGGACCAGCACAGCGGAUACCAGGACAAACAGGUGAAUUUGCACAAUUAUCUUCUAACACGUUCUUUAAUGAGUUGCAGACCCUAGCAGCAGAGUUCUCCAGAGGACCUGAGGGAACAAGAGGCCCCCCUGUGGUACCAGGAGUCAACUGGGUGUCGCUCAAAGUCAUCAAGCCAGGAACCCAGGUUCACAGGCCCGUUCCAAGUCCUGGAAAGAACAUCUCAUGUGGUUCGUCUGAGAGGAAAAGGAGAAAUCUGGUAUCAUUGGAGCCAGUCUGCACCAGCUGAAGAGCCUACAAAGUCACAA